rnacentral:rRNA from 1 species
UGGGGAAUCUUGCGCAAUGGGCGAAAGCCUGACGCAGCGACGCCGCGUGGGUGAUGAAGGCCUUCGGGUUGUAAAGCCCUGUGGGGAGGGACGAAUAAGCCGGCGCGAAUGGCGCCGGUGAUGACGGUACCUCCUUAGCAAGCACCGGCUAACUCUGUGCCAGCAGCCGCGGUAAGACAGAGGGUGCAAACGUUGUUCGGAAUUACUGGGCGUAAAGCGCAUGUAGGCGGCCAAUCAGGUCGGGUGUGAAAUCCCUCGGCUCAACCGAGGACGUGCACUCGAAACCGCUUGGCUCGAGUCCCGGAGAGGAAGGUGGAAUUGGUGGUGUAGAGGUGAAAUUCGUAGAUAUCACUAGGAACACCGGUGGCGAAAGCGGCCUUCUGGACGAGGACUGACGCUGAGAUGCGAAAGCGUGGGGAGCAAACAGG